UCAAACGUACACAUAUAGAGGAAAAGCGCCGCGUCUCUGUCUCUCAGCGGUAUGGAUGUACGCGGAUCUGAGGCCUGCUGCACGCUUUGAUGUGUGUGGUGUUUAGGGUAAUGGAAGAACCAACGACUUCAGUAAACGAACAUGAACAUCAUCAGAUGUUUACAGGGCUCUUGCUGAUGGUGAUAUGAAGCAGAUCCAGAGAAAUGAGCCCUGAGGAUCCUGUGCUGUAAUCUGAGACGUCCGUCCGUCUGUCCAUGUGUGUUUGUGUGUGUGGGAUUAAUAUGACAACAGCACGCACACAUA